GUGAUGAUGAGCUUUACAUCUUACUGACACUGAUCUGUAUGAAGUUGCAAUACAACAGUGCGAGCGGCUCUGAGGC
rnacentral:snoRNA from 1 species